rnacentral:rRNA from 1 species
AAUAUUGGGCAAUGGAGGCAACUCUGACCCAGCCAUGCCGCGUGCAGGAGGAAUGUUUUAUGAAUUGUAUACUGCUUUUGUAUCAGAAGAAAUGUUUAGACGUGUAGAGAUUUCCCGACCUCAAAGAAUGAGCACCGUCUAUCUCCGUCAGCGCAGCCGGUAUAAUGCAGAGGGCGCAAUCUUUAUCCGUAUUCAUUAGGUUUGGGGUCGGCGUAUGUGGUUUUCAAAUUCAGUGGUGAAAUCCAGGAGUUCACCUGCAGAUUUGCUUUUGAUAUGGUAAAUUUGGAUCCUAGAGAAUGGACGUAAAUAUGACAUGGGGAAUAAUUGCAUGAUAUAUCAUAGCACAUCAGGAGGAGGUUCACUCACUAAAUUGGAACUGACGGUCAGGGACGAAAGCGUGGGGAGCGAACUGGAUUAGAUACCCGGGUAGUCCACGCCCUA